GUUUGAUCAUGGCUCAGGAUGAACGCUAGCGGCAGGCUUAACACAUGCAAGUCGAGGGGUAUAGUUCUUCGGAAUUAGAGACCGGCGCACGGGUGCGUAACGCGUAUGCAAUCUACCUUUCACAGAGGGAUAGCCCAGAGAAAUUUGGAUUAAUACCUCAUAGUAUAACGACUCCGCAUGGAGAUGUUAUUAAAGUCACAACGGUGAAAGAUGAGCAUGCGUCCCAUUAGCUAGUUGGUAAGGUAACGGCUUACCAAGGCUACGAUGGGUAGGGGUCCUGAGAGGGAGAUCCCCCACACUGGUACUGAGACACGGACCAGACUCCUACGGGAGGCAGCAGUGAGGAAUAUUGGACAAUGGGCGCAAGCCUGAUCCAGCCAUGCCGCGUGCAGGAUGACGGUCCUAUGGAUUGUAAACUGCUUUUGCACAGGAAGAAACAACGCUACGUGUAGCGUCUUGACGGUACUGUGAGAAUAAGGAUCGGCUAACUCCGUGCCAGCAGCCGCGGUAAUACGGAGGAUCCAAGCGUUAUCCGGAAUCAUUGGGUUUAAAGGGUCCGUAGGCGGUUUAGUAAGUCAGGGGUGAAAGCCCAUCGCUCAACGGUGG
rnacentral:rRNA from 1 species